GAUGAACGCUGGCGGCGUGCCUAAUACAUGCAAGUCGAGCGAACGGACGAGAAGCUUGCUUCUCUGAUGUUAGCGGCGGACGGGUGAGUAACACGUGGAUAACCUACCUAUAAGACUGGGAUAACUUCGGGAAACCGGAGCUAAUACCGGAUGAUAUUUUGUACCGCAUGGUUCAAAAGUGAAAGACGGUCUUGCUGUCACUUAUAGAUGGAUCCGCGCUGCAUUAGCUAGUUGGUAAGGUAACGGCUUACCAAGGCAACGAUGCAUAGCCGACCUGAGAGGGUGAUCGGCCACACUGGAACUGAGACACGGUCCAGACUCCUACGGGAGGCAGCAGUAGGGAAUCUUCCGCAAUGGGCGAAAGCCUGACGGAGCAACGCCGCGUGAGUGAUGAAGGUCUUCGGAUCGUAAAACUCUGUUAUUAGGGAAGAACAUAUGUGUAAGUAACUGUGCACAUCUUGACGGUACCUAAUCAGAAAGCCACGGCUAACUACGU
rnacentral:rRNA from 1 species